GACGAACGCUGGCGGCGUGCUUAACACAUGCAAGUCGAACGGAAAGGCCCUGCUUUUGUGGGGUGCUCGAGUGGCGAACGGGUGAGUAACACGUGAGUAACCUGCCCUUGACUUUGGGAUAACUUCAGGAAACUGGGGCUAAUACCGGAUAGGAGCUCCUGCUGCAUGGUGGGGGUUGGAAAGUUUCGGCGGUUGGGGAUGGACUCGCGGCUUAUCAGCUUGUUGGUGGGGUAGUGGCUCACCAAGGCUUUGACGGGUAGCCGGCCUGAGAGGGUGACCGGCCACAUUGGGACUGAGAUACGGCCCAGACUCCUACGGGAGGCAGCAGUGGGGAAUAUUGCACAAUGGGCGGAAGCCUGAUGCAGCAACGCCGCGUGCGGGAUGAAGGCCUUCGGGUUGUAAACCGCUUUCGCCUGUGACGAAGCGUGAGUGACGGUAAUGGGUAAAGAAGCACCGGCUAACUACGUG
rnacentral:rRNA from 1 species